UACGUAGGGUGCAAGCGUUGUCCGGAAUUAUUGGGCGUAAAGAGCUCGUAGGCGGUUUGUCGCGUCUGCUGUGAAAACGCGAGGCUCAACCUCGCGCCUGCAGUGGGUACGGGCAGACUAGAGUGCGGUAGGGGAGAUUGGAAUUCCUGGUGUAGCGGUGGAAUGCGCAGAUAUCAGGAGGAAUACCGAUGGCGAAGGCAGAUCUCUGGGCCGUAACUGACGCUGAGGAGCGAAAGCGUGGGGAGCGAACAGG
rnacentral:rRNA from 1 species